rnacentral:rRNA from 1 species
CCUACGGGAGGCAGCAGUGAGGAAUAUUGGUCAAUGGACGAGAGUCUGAACCAGCCAAGUAGCGUGAAGGAUGACUGCCCUAUGGGUUGUAAACUUCUUUUAUAUGGGAAUAAAAUGUUCCACGUGUGGGAUUUUGUAUGUACCAUAUGAAUAAGGAUCGGCUAACUCCGUGCCAGCAGCCGCGGUAAUACGGAGGAUCCGUGCGUUAUCCGGAUUUAUUGGGUUUAAAGGGAGCGUAGGUGGAUUGUUAAGUAAGUUGUGAAAGUUUGCGGCUCAACCGGAAAAUUGCAGUUGAAACUGGCAGUCUUGAGUACAGUAGAGGUGGGCGGAAUUCGUGGUGUAGCGGUGAAAUGCGUAGAUAUCACGAAGAACUCCGAUUGCGAAGGCAGUUCACUGGACUGAAACUGACACUGAGGCUCGAAAGUGUGGGUAUCAAACAGGAUUAGAUACCCUUGUAGUC